rnacentral:sRNA from 1 species
AACUCGCGUGAGGGAUAGCAGCGGCAUCCCCUGGACAAUGUCCAGGGAUACAGCGUAUAGCCCGACCCUGA